rnacentral:rRNA from 1 species
GGGUUGUGAGGUUAAGCGACUAAGCGUACACGGUGGAUGCCCUGGCAGUCAGAGGCGAUGAAGGACGUGCUAAUCUGCGAAAAGCGUCGGUAAGGUGAUAUGAACCGUUAUAACCGGCGAUGUCCGAAUGGGGAAACCCAGUGCAAUUCGUUGCACUAUCGUUAACUGAAUACAUAGGUUAACGAGGCGAACCGGGGGAACUGAAACAUCUAAGUACCCCGAGAAAAGAAAUCAACCGAGAUUCCCCCAGUAGCGGCGAGCGAACGGGGAGCAGCCAGAGUCUGAAUCAGCUUGUGUGUUAGUGGAACGGUCUGGAAAGUCCGACGGUACAGGGUGAUAGUCCCGUACACCAAAAUGCACAGGUUGUGAACUCGAAGGAGUAGGGCGGACACGUGGUAUCCUGUCUGAAUAUGGGGGGACCAUCCUCCAAGGCUAAAUACUCCUGACUGACCGAUAGUGAACCAGUACCGUGAGGAAAGGCGAAAAGAACCCCGGCGAGGGGAGUGAAAAGAACCUGAAACCGUGUACGUACAAGCAGUGGGAGCACCUUCGGGUGUGACUGCGUACCUUUUGUAUAAUGGGUCAGCGACUUAUAUUCUGUAGCAAGGUUAACCGUAUAGGGGAGCCGCAGGGAAACCGAGUCUUAACUGGGCGUUAAGUUGCAGGGUAUAGACCCGAAACCCGGUGAUCUAGCCAUGGGCAGGUUGAAGGUUGGUAACACUAACUGGAGGACCGAACCGACUAAUGUUGAAAAAUUAGCGGAUGACUUGUGGCUGGGGGUGAAAGGCCAAUCAAACCGGGAGAUAGCUGGUUCUCCCCGAAAGCUAUUUAGGUAGCGCCUCGUGAACUCAUCUUCGGGGGUAGAGCACUGUUUCGGCUAGGGGGUCAUCCCGACUUACCAACCCGAUGCAAACUACGAAUACCGAAGAAUGUUAUCACGGGAGACACACGGCGGGUGCUAACGUCCGUCGUGAAGAGGGAAACAACCCAGACCGCCAGCUAAGGUCCCAAAGUCAUGGUUAAGUGGGAAACGAUGUGGGAAGGCACAGACAGCCAGGAUGUUGGCUUAGAAGCAGCCAUCAUUUAAAGAAAGCGUAAUAGCUCACUGGUCGAGUCGGCCUGCGCGGAAGAUGUAACGGGGCUAAACCAUGCACCGAAGCUGCGGCAGCGACACUAUGUGUUGUUGGGUAGGGGAGCGUUCUGUAAGCCUGCGAAGGUGUGCUGUGAGGCAUGCUGGAGGUAUCAGAAGUGCGAAUGCUGACAUAAGUAACGAUAAAGCGGGUGAAAAGCCCGCUCGCCGGAAGACCAAGGGUUCCUGUCCAACGUUAAUCGGGGCAGGGUGAGUCGACCCCUAAGGCGAGGCCGAAAGGCGUAGUCGAUGGGAAACAGGUUAAUAUUCCUGUACUUGGUGUUACUGCGAAGGGGGGACGGAGAAGGCUAUGUUAGCCGGGCGACGGUUGUCCCGGUUUAAGCAUGUAGGCUGGUUAUCCAGGCAAAUCCGGAUAAUCAAGGCUGAGGUGUGAUGACGAGGCACUACGGUGCUGAAGUAACAAAUGCCCUGCUUCCAGGAAAAGCCUCUAAGCAUCAGGUAACAUCAAAUCGUACCCCAAACCGACACAGGUGGUCAGGUAGAGAAUACCAAGGCGCUUGAGAGAACUCGGGUGAAGGAACUAGGCAAAAUGGUGCCGUAACUUCGGGAGAAGGCACGCUGGUGUGUAGGUGAAGUCCCUGCGGAUGGAGCUGAGACCAGUCGAAGAUACCAGCUGGCUGCAACUGUUUAUUAAAAACACAGCACUGUGCAAACACGAAAGUGGACGUAUACGGUGUGACGCCUGCCCGGUGCCGGAAGGUUAAUUGAUGGGGUUAUCCGUAAGGAGAAGCUCUUGAUCGAAGCCCCGGUAAACGGCGGCCGUAACUAUAACGGUCCUAAGGUAGCGAAAUUCCUUGUCGGGUAAGUUCCGACCUGCACGAAUGGCGUAAUGAUGGCCAGGCUGUCUCCACCCGAGACUCAGUGAAAUUGAACUCGCUGUGAAGAUGCAGUGUACCCGCGGCAAGACGGAAAGACCCCGUGAACCUUUACUAUAGCUUGACACUGAACAUUGAGCCUUGAUGUGUAGGAUAGGUGGGAGGCUUUGAAGCGUGGACGCCAGUCUGCGUGGAGCCAACCUUGAAAUACCACCCUUUAAUGUUUGAUGUUCUAACGUUGGCCCCUGACCGGGGUUGCGGACAGUGUCUGGUGGGUAGUUUGACUGGGGCGGUCUCCUCCCAAAGCGUAACGGAGGAGCACGAAGGUUAGCUAAUCCUGGUCGGACAUCAGGAGGUUAGUGCAAUGGCAUAAGCUAGCUUGACUGCGAGCGUGACGGCGCGAGCAGGUGCGAAAGCAGGUCAUAGUGAUCCGGUGGUUCUGAAUGGAAGGGCCAUCGCUCAACGGAUAAAAGGUACUCCGGGGAUAACAGGCUGAUACCGCCCAAGAGUUCAUAUCGACGGCGGUGUUUGGCACCUCGAUGUCGGCUCAUCACAUCCUGGGGCUGAAGUAGGUCCCAAGGGUAUGGCUGUUCGCCAUUUAAAGUGGUACGCGAGCUGGGUUUAGAACGUCGUGAGACAGUUCGGUCCCUAUCUGCCGUGGGCGCUGGAGAAUUGAGGGGGGCUGCUCCUAGUACGAGAGGACCGGAGUGGACGCAUCACUGGUGUUCGGGUUGUCAUGCCAAUGGCACUGCCCGGUAGCUAAAUGCGGAAGAGAUAAGUGCUGAAAGCAUCUAAGCACGAAACUUGCCCCGAGAUGAGUUCUCCCUGAGACUAUAAGUCUCCUGAAGGAACGUUAAAGACGAUGACGUUGAUAGGCCGGGUGUGUAAGCGCAGCGAUGCGUUGAGCUAACCGGUACUAAUGAACCGUGAGGCUUAACCUUACAACGCCGAAG